rnacentral:rRNA from 1 species
GAUGAACGCUGGCGGCGUGCCUAAUACAUGCAAGUCGAGCGAACGGACGAGAAGCUUGCUUUUCUGUUGUAAGCGGCGGAAGGGUGAGUAACACGUGGAUAACCUACCUAUAAGACUGGGAUAACUUCGGGAAACCGGCGCUAAUACCGGAUAAUAUUUUGAACCGCAUGGUUCAAAAGUGAAAGACGGUCUUGCUGUCCCUUAUAGAUGGAUCCGCGCUGCAUUAGCUAGUUGGUAAGGUAACGGCUUACCAAGGCAACGGUGCAUAGCCGACCUGAGAGGGUGAGCGGGCACCCUGGAACUGAGACACGGCCCAGACUCCUACGGGAGGCAGCAGUAGGGAAUCGGCAGCAAUGGGCGAAAGCCCGACGGAGCAACGGCGCGUGAGGGAUGAAGGUCUUCGGAUCGUAAAACUCUGUUAUUAGGGAAGAACAUAUGUGUAAGUAACUGUGCACAUCUUGACGGUACCUAAUCAGAAAGCCACGGCUAACUACGUG